rnacentral:rRNA from 1 species
AUGUACUCAUCGCAGUCGCUGAGCUGCGUCAACAACAUACGUACCUCGCUCAUCAACGCGCAGAAGGGCAACCAGUCCGCCGGCGCCUACUUCGCCACCAUGCGCGGUCUCGCGGAUGAGCUGGCGGCGGCCGGCAAACCCAUCCAUGACGACGAACUAAUCUCGUACAUCCUCCACGGGCUGGAUCAGGAGUACCAGCCCCUCAUCUCCACCCUCGACGCCCGCGUCAGCCCCACCUCUCUCGACGAGAUCUUCUCCAUGCUCAGCAACUUCGACCAGCGCAUGGUGCAGUUCUAG